rnacentral:lncRNA from 1 species
GAGUUGCGCAACGCUCUGCCGAAGGCAGGAAAACAGGGCAGGAGCGGACGCCGGAUGUCCCUGCAACCCCGAGCCGACCCGCGCACCGUCGGAAGCGCCGCGUCCCGCUCCACCUUGGCCAGAGCGGACUGCGCCGCCUGGGAGGCGUCCUCAGAGUCCCGGCCCCGCGUUCAGCCCAGGCACUAGGGCCGGCGGCACGGACACUGAGCACAUGCGGGUGUCGGGGGCCAGCACACAGUGGAUGUGAAUGAACACACGAAGAAAGGAAGGAUUGACAAAGUGAAACAGCAAAUGAGCAAAGGAAGAGGCGGCAGCCUGGGGGUCCUGGCAGUCCUCCAGCAGAGAGGACCCCAGGCUCCCAUUCCUUGGGCUGGUGCAAGGCUCUGGUCUGUGUCCCCUGGGGAGCCUCCCAGCACAGGCAGCCCCUGCGUAGCAACUGGACCUGGACAAGGACCCAGCGCCCUCUGGUGGCCGAGACUCCUGAGGCUCCAGGCCAGGCCUCUAGCGUCCUGGUGGUUUCCAAGGACUUUCUUUCCCACAGUCCCCUUGGAAUAUCACAGAAAUCCCUAGGAAACAAAGCAGCUCAGAUUUGUAAUGAAGGAAAGGAUGCCAUGCUGGGUCCCCAGAGUCCUGGGUUCUGGUUCUAGCCAUGCCCCUGACUCUCUGGGUGACCUUCAGCGUGUCCUGGGAUUUGAGCUGCCAAGGGCUGGGCUUGGGCUUGCCACUGUAGGGAGUGGGGGUGCCUGCAGCAGCACCUCGACUGCCCGCCUCUUGGCCUCAGCUUGCUCUAAGACCUUACCCAUCAGGAAGUGCUUGCAUGAAUAAGUGAGCCAAAAUCUUCCUCCCUAUGGCUCUAGCAUCCCUCCAGGCUUUGCAUUCUGUGUCCACACACAUCCUGGAAGAACACCAGAGUCUCCAUUCCCCCAACCCCCUUUCACCCAUGGGAUCUGGAGAUGUCUUUUCCACAUCCAGAUGUCUCGUGUGCAGUGGGAUUCCUAAAUCUGGAGCUCAGGGGGAGGUGUGCACUGAAGACAGACCUUCGGGGUCAUUAGCACCUAGAGGGUCUGUGACACCUGGAGAAUGACUGGCUUGCUGAGGCCAGUGGUUCCCAGCCUAGGCUGCAUACUACAAUCAUCCGGAAAUCCAGUGAGCGUGGAUGCCCAGAACCCACCUACCAGACUGAUGAAAUCAGAGCCCCUGCGUGUGGGCCCAGGCAUGGGCAUUUGAUUUUUAAAAUUUUUUAUUUUCUUGGUAGAUCACUC